CUACGGGAUGCACCAGUGAGGAAUUUUGCGCAAUGGGGGAAACCCUGACGCAGCAACGCCGCGUGAGUGAUGAAGGCCUUCGGGUCGUAAAGCUCUGUCAAGUGGGAAGAACCUACCUAUGGGUAAUAUUCAUGGGUACUGACGGUACCACUGAAGGAAGCACCGGCUAACUCCGUGCCAGCAGCCGCGGUAAUACGGGGGGUGCAAGCGUUAUUCGGAAUUAUUGGGCGUAAAGGGCGCGUAGGCGGUCGUGUUAGUCAGAUGUGAAAGCCCGGGGCUCAACCCCGGAAGUGCAUUUGAUACUGCAAGACUUGAGUAUGGGAGAGGGAAGUGGAAUUCCUGGUGUAGAGGUGAAAUUCGUAGAUAUCAGGAGGAACAUCUGUGGCGAAGGCGACUUCCUGGACCAAUACUGACGCUGAGGCGCGAAGGCGUGGGUAGCAAACAGGAUUAGAUACCCCCGUAGUC
rnacentral:rRNA from 1 species